GUGCCAGCCGCCGCGGUAAAACGUAGGGCCCGAGCGUUGUCCGGAAUCACUGGGUGUAAAGGGUGCGUAGGCGGGCGUGCGCGUCUGGGGUGAAAGGCUCCGGCUCAACCGGAGACAUGCCCUGGAUACGGCACGUCUUGGGUGCGGGAGAGGGCGAUGGAAUUCCUGGUGUAGCGGUGAAAUGCGUAGAUAUCAGGAGGAACACCGGUGGCGAAGGCGGUCGCCUGGCCCGCAACCGACGCUGAGGCACGAAAGCGUGGGGAGCAAACAGGAUUAGAUACCCUGGUAGUCCACGCCCUAAACGAUGCGCGCUUGCUGUUGGGCUGCCCUCGGGCGGCUCAGUGGCGGAGGUAACCCGUUAAGCGCGCCACCUGNGGAGUACCGCUCGCAAGGGUGAAACUCAAAGGAAUUGACGGGGGCCCGCACAAGCGGUGGAUCAUGUGGUUUAAUUCGAUGCUACGCGAA
rnacentral:rRNA from 1 species